rnacentral:tRNA from 1 species
GGUGGAUAUAGUUCAAAGGUUAGAAUGUCAAUUUGUGGUAUUGAGUAUUCUGGUUCGAAUCCAGAUUUUCACC